UCACUUAGAAAAAUGAGCAAUCCAUUUUUUUUAAUACAGUAAGUCCCCUACAUACAAAUCUUGAGAACUUUCAAAGAUGUGGACGUGUGUUCCAUCAACAUCAGAUGAGCUACAAAUGCCCCUGGUCCUAAAGAAGAGAAUUUUUAUAGCACUUCCUUUAUUCUUUGGCCACAACUGAGCCCCCUCCAACUUGGCUUCACAUCUCAGCAAAGACCAGCCCCUCCUGGCCAUUCACGCAUGUGCCAGCUGGGCUUAGAGCCUGCUUGCAUGGAUCUUGAUGAGCUUGUCUGGUUGGCCCCUAUUUGUGAAAGAGAAGAAGCAGACCUUGUCCAAGACCGGCACUGAAUAAAAUACCACAGUCAGAAGAGAGGAAAAAACAAAGAGAAGAUGAUGUGAAGAUACGGGAAACAUGGAAGAGGCUCCCAUCCCUUAUAGGGAACCGAUACUGAUGACACCUUGAUUUUGAAUUUCUAGCCUUGGAAUUGGGAGAGAAUAAAUUUUCAUUAUU